UUAGAAGAAAUUUGCUCUAUAGCUGACCAAAAGCAGGUAAAAGUAACUUCGCCUUUGACCUUUUAUUAUAUAUUUUGAUAAGUGAAAGUGAUUAUACCAUGCAUGUGGGCAUAUGUUUCAUCUUAAUCUCUUGUUGCUACAUAUAGCAGUGCACUUUCACAUCAUGUUGAUGGUAUCUUUCCUGUUAAAGAUGCAUUUUUGCAUACUUAUAUCUGAUCUUUUUCUUUUUUAUGUCAUUCUCUCUCUCUCUCUCU
rnacentral:lncRNA from 1 species